rnacentral:tRNA from 1 species
UACCAGAUAGCUCAGUUGGAAGAGCACCUAACAAGAAUUUCAGGGGGGCCUGGGUUCGAAUCCUGGUCUGGUUU